GUCUCUAUGGAGACAUUUGAUAAAGUUGGAACGAUAAAAGAUUAGUUUAGUUCUUGUGCAAGGAUGACACGCACAAAUUGAGGAAUUUUGUCUCUUCAA